UUUCUAUGAUGAAUCAAACUAGCUCACUAUGAUUAAUACAAUGAAGUUGUCACUUUGGCAGAUGACCGGGGGCCCUUUGGUGCCAAGACACUUUUAGUCCUGAGCUGAGAAAC
rnacentral:snoRNA from 1 species